rnacentral:rRNA from 1 species
CGUAGUCAACCUACCUUUUAGUGGGGAAUAACAGCCCGAAAGGGUUGCUAAUACCGCAUAAGCUCUCUCUCGACAGGGAGAGAGGAAACCAUGCUCUUAGAAGUAAGGGUAGGGGCUGAAAGAUGGGACUGCGGCGGAUUAGCUAGAUGGUGAGGUAACGGCCCACCAUGGCAACGAUCCGUAGCUGGUCUGAGAGGACGGCCAGCCACACUGGGACUGAGAAACGGCCCAG